GUUUAUAGCCAUGCCACCUUAAUUUGUCUGGUCUCCUCUGAUCUUGGAAGUUAAGCAGGGUAAGGCCUGGUUAUUAUUUGAAUGAGAAAGUGGAAACAAUUGAGGAAGACACACAUCUAUAAUCU
ensembl:rRNA 5S_rRNA 5S ribosomal RNA